rnacentral:rRNA from 1 species
AGUCGAGCGAACAGACGAGGAGCUUGCUCCUUUGACGUUAGCGGCGGACGGGUGAGUAACACGUGGGUAACCUACCUAUAAGACUGGGAUAACUUCGGGAAACCGGAGCUAAUACCGGAUAAUAUUUCGAACCGCAUGGUUCGAUAGUGAAAGAUGGUUUUGCUAUCACUUAUAGAUGGACCCGCGCCGUAUUAGCUAGUUGGUAAGGUAACGGCUUACCAAGGCGACGAUACGUAGCCGACCUGAGAGGGUGAUCGGCCACACUGGAACUGAGACACGGUCCAGACUCCUACGGGAGGCAGCAGUAGGGAAUCUUCCGCAAUGGGCGAAAGCCUGACGGAGCAACGCCGCGUGAGUGAUGAAGGUCUUCGGAUCGUAAAACUCUGUUAUUAGGGAAGAACAUACGUGUAAGUAACUGUGCACGUCUUGACGGUACCUAAUCAGAAAGCCACGGCUAACUACGUGCCAGCAGCCGCGGUAAUACGUAGGUGGCAAGCGUUAUCCGGAAUUAUUGGGCGUAAAGCGCGCGUAGGCGGUUUUUUAAGUCUGAUGUGAAAGCCCACGGCUCAACCGUGGAGGGUCAUUGGAAACUGGAAAACUUGAGUGCAGAAGAGGAAAGUGGAAUUCCAUGUGUAGCGGUGAAAUGCGCAGAGAUAUGGAGGAACACCAGUGGCGAAGGCGACUUUCUGGUCUGUAACUGACGCUGAUGUGCGAAAGCGUGGGGAUCAAACAGGAUUAGAUACCCUGGUAGUCCACGCCGUAAACGAUGAGUGCUAAGUGUUAGGGGGUUUCCGCCCCUUAGUGCUGCAGCUAACGCAUUAAGCACUCCGCCUGGGGAGUACGACCGCAAGGUUGAAACUCAAAGGAAUUGACGGGGACCCGCACAAGCGGUGGAGCAUGUGGUUUAAUUCGAAGCAACGCGAAGAACCUUACCAAAUCUUGACAUCCUUUGACAACUCUAGAGAUAGAGCCUUCCCCUUCGGGGGACAAAGUGACAGGUGGUGCAUGGUUGUCGUCAGCUCGUGUCGUGAGAUGUUGGGUUAAGUCCCGCAACGAGCGCAACCCUUAAGCUUAGUUGCCAUCAUUAAGUUGGGCACUCUAAGUUGACUGCCGGUGACAAACCGGAGGAAGGUGGGGAUGACGUCAAAUCAUCAUGCCCCUUAUGAUUUGGGCUACACACGUGCUACAAUGGACAAUACAAAGGGCAGCGAAACCGCGAGGUCAAGCAAAUCCCAUAAAGUUGUUCUCAGUUCGGAUUGUAGUCUGCAACUCGACUACAUGAAGCUGGAAUCGCUAGUAAUCGUAGAUCAGCAUGCUACGGUGAAUACGUUCCCGGGUCUUGUACACACCGCCCGUCACACCACGAGAGUUUGUAACACCCGAAGCCGGUGGAGUAACCAUUGGAGCUAGC